rnacentral:lncRNA from 1 species
AUGGAUGUGAAUGUCACUAAAGCCCUCGGUAUCUCCAGGAAUCCUCUUCGAAACUAUGAUACCUUCUCGAAGUUGCCAUUGAAAAUAUACGAGCAGUCGCCAGAGUUAUUCGAAACCCAGUUUGCUCGUUAUCCUGUCCUCAUGAUUGACCUUGGAGCUUUGUCCACUAAUUUCUAUCAAGAUUUCGUACGCUCUUUCAAAAUAAUGGUCGCGAAGCUUUUUGACCAAUUUCGGUAUUUGUUAAAGAGCAGCAGACUAGGGCAAAACAACAAGGAUAUAUUUAUACGCUUCAGGGACCGGUAUAAAGAACUGGAUAUAGAAGAGGUAGUGCGCGGCGGAGAGAGACUGGUUCAACUCUUGUCAGCACAUCAUCACCGAAAAUCAAUAGUUCUAGUUGAUAACUUUGACGUCCCCAUUCGCGCGGCUCUUUUGGCGCCUCACCUCAACGAGCAAAGUUUCAAGGGGAUCAAAUGGAGUGUUUCCCGAUUCGUCAAGUUACUCAUUAAAAGCAGUUUCGUCUUCAGGGCCGUGGUUACGGGUAACCUCAGACUGGAAAUCACAGACGAAUUGAUGCAUUUCUCCAUUUUCGAGGAUCCAUUUCUGCACCGGUAUUUCGGUCUUACGGAGGAUGAUAUUUCUGAGCUUGCAAUGCGAUUCGAUUACAAGAAACACAUCGCGGACGUCGAAAAUUGGUACGGCAACUACAAAACAACGCCCAAAGGGCGUAAACUCUACAACAGUCGCUCGGCGAUUAGCUACUUUAGAACAGGUGAGCUGAAGCCGUACCGAGAUGAGGCCUUUAAGUUCAAAGCUCUGAAAAACCUCCUAGAUUAUGCGAGGGCAGGUCGCGACAUAGAAGACGCCUUUGACAAUAACACACGGAUCUUUGUCCGGCAGAAGAUUCCAGCAAAGCAUCUCGAGGAUCUAAAACGAACAAUCGUCGACGCAAAUCAAACCGCCAUCGAUACGAAUUUAGUGCUACAAAUCCUCCUCGACCACGGUUUCUACGCAUUGGUUGACGAGAAUAAACUCUACGUGCCAAACAUUGAAGCUAUGUUAGAUAUCAAGACUCUUAUCUUCGACCGAACAUACUACAUCAACAAACUAAAUAUUACUGAUUAUGUAUUGAUACCUUCGUACAAAGCCUCGAGCAACUUACUAGUGAGGACGUGUCCUUCCGGAACUUUUCCAAUGCGGUCACAGCACUUUUCAAGUACCGCGUGCCGCGUGGUGCACGGGAAUUAGCGCACACCUUGCACACUCUAGCGGCCGACGCUCGGAAGUUCGAUCUGGUACGCGGUCUAGAGACCCCCUAUAGCAAACGGCAAGAUGUCCUUGUGAAACGGCGGAGGGACAUGGGGAUCAUCAUCGGGAUCACGGUGGAUCCACUUGAUUAUGAGGAGCUGAAAUCUGUUUUCUCAAGAGUUUCCAGGUGUUUCAGGAUUGCAAGGCAAAGGUUGGGAUCUUGCUGGGUUUGAAACGUCGCGGACUGCUCGCGGAUCUCGGAAUGAUGUACAAGUUUGACAAUCGCACCGUUGUGGACAACAGUGAGAACCAUCCCGAAGCGCAUGUCAUCGAUGAGGCCACAACAGGAAGAGAGAUAACUAAUGACAGGGCAUGACUUGGCGUCAUCUAUCCAUUCAACGACUUCUGUUUAGCAGAAAUUGGUCUUCCAAACUUGAGAAAUACGAGCACGUAUCGGUGCGAGAGGUGGCAAAGAUGGCGACGAUUGUAUUCCUGCUGUGUUUUUCUGACUUUGAACAUGCCGGCUCCUUCAAUUAUUUAUUUUUUAAAAAAGAAAUUGGGGCGUAAAUUUUGGGGUAUACUGCAAUCGAAAGUAUGUUUUUAGGGAUUUCAAACUCAAUUAUGCUUAUCAACAUUUGGUUUCAACCGUAAAAGUUUGCCAUCGAUUCCGAAGCUCCGUACUUAAAAAGUGAAGCUUUGAGGUUGGACACCACGACUAAAAUUUUCAAUUAGUGAGUGAGAUUUGCUAACAAUGGGUCAAAGUCUGUUACACAAUCGGGUUUUGACAUUUGCAGCUUGCAGAGCAGAGGAGCAGAAUUUUAAGGAAAACUGACAAAACCAAACUUGUCCGAGGUUUAGACGAUUCUCAUUUCCGUGGCUUCAUUAAUCAGUAAUAUUCAAUUAUUCACAUUUGGACAGGUUGCUUCACGGACACCAUUUAUGAAACCAAGGUCGAGGAAAUCAUGGUAUUCAUCACCGCGGUAGAUGACAUUCUUAGAAAUAUCCUGGAGAUUUCCCACUGCACUAAACGCACAAAAAUUGUGAUUCUUUCACUCUAAUAAUAUUCAAGCUUUGAUUAAAUCUAUCUCCGAGAUCUUGUAGCCUUUCUUUUUGGCGAAGAUUUUCUAUCACAUUUGCCAAAUUUUCAUCAAAUUUUCGUAAAAUGCGCUCAAACUUUGGAAAAUUUGAUUGAGGUUAUUCGCCAAAAGCAAAGGCUACAAGAUUGCAGUAAAAGUUCUAUUGGCACAAGUGUUAACUUUCCUCUUGGCACCCUGUCAAACUAGAAAGAGUUGGGGCAUAUGUUGAAAAAGUAAUGAAACAUAACCAGUAACCAUUUAACCCGGAAAAAUCAUUUUAUGUAUCUGUGCCGAUUAUUCUAUCCUUUUUCCUUGAAAAGACCUGAUAUAUGUAUAAUGGUAUAUCAUGCUUUCGAGCCAAAUAUAAUCUGAAUAUUACUAUCGUCAGUUAAUUAUCUCCUCCUUUAUGUUAUUUAAUACGUGUACUUAUUUGCAAAUUUAUAUCUUUAGUAGAAUCAUUCAAUUGUAUGACCGCUUAAAGUUUCAAUUAUUUACACAUUGUUUCAGUCUCAAAUAAAUGUAGGAAGUUCUUGCAUAAUUUAUUAUUAUAAAGUAUGAGAAGUCUCGAAAUACGAGCCUCCUGAAAGGAAGGAGAACACCUAUUAAGAAUAAACUACGAAGUAGCUUCACUUUUAAAAACGCCUUGGAAAGUGUAGCUAGGCAACUUCUGUUGUCUUAAGGUAUCGCCGGAUAGAGAUCCUUUUUGAAGGCAAUUUCAUAUCACCAUCGAACAAUGGGUCACUAAACCUUGUUUAUUUUAUUGAAUAUUCUGAAAGUACAAUGUGAGCAGAUAACGUGGUGAUUUUUCCGCAUUUUUAAGGAGCCGAAAUCGCGGAGAAAACCCGCUUUUGAAAAAUCUAAAAACUGCAAGACAUUUCAAACGCACCCGAAUGGCGGGAAACUGACGGUGUUGACGCACUGCGGUAGUCAUAUCGCAAUCUUCUCUCAUUUUCCUCUGAUG